AUAUCAAUAAGCGGAGGAAAAGAAACCAACAGGGAUUGCCUUAGUAACUGCGAGUGAAGCGGCAAGAGCUCAAAUUUGAAAUCUGGCAUCUUUGAUGUCCGAGUUGUAAUUUGUAGAAGCAACUUUGGAAUUGGUCCUUGCAUAUGUUCCUUGGAACAGGACAUCAUAGAGGGUGAGAAUCCCGUUCAUGGUGGGGAAUCCAAUUCUUUGUAAAGUGCUUUCGAAGAGUCGAGUUGUUUGGGAAUGCAGCUCUAAGUGGGUGGUAAAUUCCAUCUAAAGCUAAAUAUUGGCGAGAGACCGAUAGCGAACAAGUACAGUGAUGGAAAGAUGAAAAGUACUCCGAAAGGAGAGUGAAAAAGGACGUGAAAUUGUUGAAAGGGAAGUGCUUGAGAUCAGUCUUAGGUUUUAGUGAUCAAUUCUCCUUUUGGUGGAUGCACUCGCUUUUGCCUAGGCCAACAUCAGUUCUGUGAGUAGGAUAAUGACAUUAGAAUGUGGCUCUUUCGGGAGUGUUAUAGCUUUUGUUGAUACUACUUUACGGGACUGAGGUCUGCGCGUUUGCUAGGAUGUUGGCAUAAUGAUCUUAAGCAGCCCGUCUUGAAACACGGACCAAGGAGUCUAACAACUAUGCGAGUGUUUGGGUGUUAAACCCGUACGCAUAAUGAAAGUGAACGUAGGUGGGAACCGUAAGGUGCACCAUCGACCGAUCCUGAUGUUCUCGGAUGGAUUUGAGUAAGAGCAUAGCUGUUGGGACCCGAAAGAUGGUGAACUAUGCCUGAAUAGGGUGAAGCCAGAGGAAACUCUGGUGGAGGCUCGUAGCGAUUCUGACGUGCAAAUCGAUCGUCAAAUUUGGGUAUAGGGGCGAAAGACUAAUCGAACCAUCUAGUAGCUGGUUCCUGCC
rnacentral:rRNA from 1 species